AAGAGCGAAUACCUCCAUGUGACUGUACAGUAAAACACAGAAUGGAUGUUUCUCAAAAAAAAAAAAAAACUGAAAGUAAUUGCAAGUUGUACCCGACUAGCACAGAAUGAGAAAACACUACCCAAGAUACAUAUCAUUUAAAAUCCAUUAAUAACACAUCCAAACAUAAAGGGUUGAUUCUAAACUGUUUGCCACGCCCCUAAGAAAUACUCAUCACAACAGCCUCGAGCUGGCUGAUAAGUCUACUCAUCAGAG
rnacentral:lncRNA from 1 species